GGGCCUCGGCCUACAGCGACCCCAUGCGGCUGCGUGAAGCCGGCUCUGGAGACAGGAUUUUGUUUGUUUUUCACAAAAAUGGUCAUUUGAGCUGUAAGGCAAAAGUGCAGCCUCCUAGGCUGAACGGUGCAAAGACGGGAGUUUUUUCCACAAGGAGCCCUCAUCGUCCCAAUGCAAUAGGACUGACCCUGGCCAAGCUGGAAAAGGUAGAAGGUGGAGCUAUAUACCUUUCUGGAAUUGACAUGAUACAUGGCACACCCGUACUAGACAUCAAGCCCUACAUAGCUGAGUAUGACUCACCGCAAAAUGUGAUGGAGCCUUUAGCAGACUUUAAUUUACAGAAUAACCAACAUACACCAAAUAUUGUGUCCCAGUCUGACAGCAAGACUGACAGCUGUGACCAGCAGCAGCUCUCAGGGUGUGAUGAGCCACAACCCCACCAUAGCACUAAGAAGAAACCUAAAUGUCCUGAAGACAGAACUUCAGAAGAAAACUACCUGACACACAGUGACACAGCCAAAAUUCAGCAAGCAUUUCCUAUGCACAGGGAGAUAGCAGCGGAUUUUGGUUUGGAAUCAAGACGUGAUCAGAGUUCCAGUGUGGCAGAAGAACAAAUUGUCCCAUAUUGCCCGGAGAAGAGCUUUUCAGAGAAAGGUACAGACAAGAAGCUAGGGAGAGUGGAAGGAGCAGCAGUCUUGCAAGGAAGCAGGGCAGAGACACAGCCCAUGGCCCCUCACUGCCCUGCUGGAAGGGCUGAUGGAGCUCCCUGCAGCGUGGUUCCUGCCUGGGUGACAGAGGCUCCUGUGGCCACUUUAAAAGUGCGGUUUACUCCUCAUGCCGA
rnacentral:sRNA from 1 species